rnacentral:rRNA from 1 species
UACGUAGGGGCAAGCGUUGUCCGGAUUAUUGGGCGUAAGAGCGUGUAGGCGGUUUGGUAGGUCCGUUGUGAAACUCGAGGCUCAACCUCGAGACGCCGAUGGAAACCAUCAGACUAGAGUCCGGAAGAGGAGAGUGGAAUUCCUGGUGUAGCGGUGAAAUGCGCAGAUAUCGGGAAGACACCUGUGGCGAAGGCGGCACUCUGGGACGGUACUGAGCU